rfam:Oryzias latipes DNA, scaffold2157, strain: Hd-rR.
ACAACGGCUCUUUUGAGAGCCACCCACGACACCUUUAAGAGCUUG